rnacentral:rRNA from 1 species
AUUGAACGCUGGCGGCAGGCCUAACACAUGCAAGUCGAACGGUAACAGGAAACAGCUUGCUGUUUCGCUGACGAGUGGCGGACGGGUGAGUAAUGUCUGGGAAACUGCCUGAUGGAGGUGGAUAACUACUGGAAACGGUAGCUAAUACCGCAUAUCGUCGCAAGACCAAAGAGGGGGACCUUUGGGCCUCUUGCCAUCGGAUGUGCCCAGAUGGGAUUAGCUAGUAGGUGGGGUAACGGCUCACCUAGGCGACGAUCCCUAGCUGGUCUGAGAGGAUGACCAGCCAGACUGGAACUGAGACACGGUCCAGACUCCUACGGGAGGCAGCAGUGGGGAAUAUUGCACAAUGGGCGCAAGCGUGAUGCAGCCAUGCCGCGUGUAUGAAGAAGGCCUUCGGGUUGUAAAGUACUUUCAGCGGGGAGGAAGGGAGUAAAGUUAAUACCUUUGCUCAUCGACGUUACCCGCAGAAGAAGCACCGGCUAACUCCGUGCCAGCAGCCGCGGUAA